rnacentral:rRNA from 1 species
CGGGUGAGUAACGCGUGGAUAACCUGCCUUGCACUGGGGGAUAACACUUAGAAAUAGGUGCUAAUACCGCAUAAGCGCACAGAGCCGCAUGGCUCAGUGUGAAAAACUCCGGUGGUGUAAGAUGGAUCCGCGUCUGAUUAGCUAGUUGGCGGGGUAGAAGCCCACCAAGGCGACGAUCAGUAGCCGGCCUGAGAGGGUGAACGGCCACAUUGGGACUGAGACACGGCCCAAACUCCUACGGGAGGCAGCAG